GAAGCGGAGGCCGACGACAGCUCUUACGUUAUCAAGGAACAAACUUAUCCUGAGAAAGUGCUCACACGUGGAACACAGACUACUCUUUAUUUGAGAGAUGAUGACAAGUAUGAGUUUACUGACCCUGCAAGAAUUGAAAGCUUAGUUAAGAGCUGCUCACAAUUUGUGUCAUUCCCCAUAUAUACAUGGAAGGAGAAAUCAAGAACAUUUGGGGUCUAAAGAGUCUAAAGAGGAGGAAGAA